rnacentral:rRNA from 1 species
GGCCAGACUCCUACGGGAGGCAGCAGUGGGGGAUAUUGCACAAUGGGGGGAACCCUGGUGCAGCGACGCCGCGUGGGUGAAGGAGCGUUUCGGCGCGUAAAGCCCUAUCGGCAGGGGAGAAGGAGGACGGUACCUGACUAAGAAGCCCCGGCUAACUACGUGCCAGCAGCCGCGGUAAUACGGAGGAUGCGAGCGUUAUCCGGAUUUAUUGGGUUUAAAGGGUGCGCAGGCGGCCCGGCAAGCCGGCGGUCAAAGCGCGGGGCUCAACCCAGCGCAGCCGGAGGAACUGCCGGGCUAGAGUGGGCGAGAAGUGCGCGGAAUGCGUGGGGUAGCGGUGAAAUGCAUAGAUAUCACGCAGAACGCCGAUUGCGAAGGCAGCGCACCGGCGCCCUACUGACGAUCAGGCACGAAAGCGGGGGUAUCGAACAGGAGUAGAUACCCCAGUA